UGACAAUCCUUUUUGCUAGGCACUGCAAUAGACAUAAUCAAUUCAUUGCAAAAAACUCUAGAUUAAUUCUAAGCACUGCAAACACAUUUAAUCAUGACAGGAUCAUGACAAACAUUCCCUCUACAUGUCAAGUUCAAGUGUCACAUCAAAAAUCUUAAGCCUUAGGCUCUAAGUCCAGCAGAUAAACAUUCACUCAGACUGUGGUGAUAGAUCAGAAACCAAGGUAGGUUUCUCCUGGGGUGGAGCUGACGGCCAGCUGAGGAGGUGGUCUUAGGGAGAAGUUGCGGUGCUCACCAGGGCCAAGAUGUGGCUGUAGAGUUUGAGAUCUGUGAGAACAACACAGAGGUUUAGGCAGAUGAGAAGAGCUGGGAUGUCAUUCCAGGUCCUCAUCAGGCUCUCAGGUUUGUGUGCAUCAGUGUCGGCUGCUGAAUGUCUAUUUAUUUGCCCUAUUAUUUAUACUAAGUUUUGGGUCUUUUGACAGCCUCCCCCCCUUUCAGUCCUUAUCAGCUACCACCAUCUUUCUCAGUGACAUCAUUUACCCUGGGGUUAAAACAUCUGGUCUGGUGGUCCCCACUCUGAUCUUUUCGCCUUUCCCUCUUAUCAGGUGAGGACAGCCAAUGACUUGUUUGUAUCUGAGGGCCAUACUGGAUGGCUCCGGUAGGUGUGCCUGGUGAGAUUGCAGGUUUCAAACUGGAGUUUUUAAAAUGGAGUUGCUUAGGCUUAGGCCCAAGGCCAUCCUCACACCCCCUCAGUUUGUGUUCACAUAACAACCUAAGUAAUUCAGUCAGUUUAUAUCACGUGCCUAUUCAGAAAAACCUUCCAAAGAUUCCCACCUUAUUCAAGUAAAAGCCAAUUUUUUUUUAAUAUCUUUAUUUUAUUUAUUUUAUAUGUGGUGCUGAGGAUCAAACCCAGGGCCUCGUAUGUGCUAGCUGAGCACUCUACGGCUGAGCCACAACCCCAGCCCCAAAAGCCAAAAUUUUACCAUAUCUAGAAAUGUCCUACAGGACCAGGCUCCUAGAACCUUGCUGAGCCUCUCCUAUUCUUGGCUCCCUUGAUUGUCUAAUAUCAAUGUCCAGACACACUGACCAUUUGCCAAACUCUCUUCUGCCUCCAGGACACUGAACUUACUCUUACCUCUGCAUAGAACUCACUCUCUGGUAUCCCCCAGGCUCCUUCCAUCACUGAGUUCAAGGCUUGGCUCAAACAUUUCUUGCUUUUAAGUUGCAAAUUUGACUCCCUCAAGCCCAUAUGCCUAUUUGUUUCGUUUUUGCUCCAUUGUGUUUAUCACCUGCACAUAAAUAUGCUUUAUACAUGUUGUGCAUAAUAUAGACAGUUGUGUCAGUAAACAAAAGGUAUGUGUUCUGAAAAAUGCACCAUUAAGCAACUUUGUCAGUGAGCAAACAUCAUAAAAUGUGCUUACACAAAGACAGCUAUGGCACCACUAGACGAAGUCUCAGGGGACCAUCAUUUUAUAUAUAUAUAUAUAUAUAUAUAUAUAUAUAUAUAUAUAUGUAUGUAACUUUAUAUAUAAACAUAUAAUGUGUUUUAAUUGUUAUAAUUUAUAUAUAAUAUAACAUAUUUAAUGUGUUACAUAUAUGAAUACUAUACAAUUUAUUUCUUUAUUUUAUUUGAUCUCCCUCUCAAAAUGAAGGCCUGAGUUGGUUUGUCAUUGUCAUGUCCUCAAUUCCUACCCAGAACUUGGCACAUCACAGAAGAUCAACACGGAUCUGUAGAGAGAAUGGAUGCAUUUUCAAAUUCAGGGGUUCAUCAAUGGGUUAAGAGCAGAAGCAUCAGGGGCUUGGGUUCCAGUGCCCUUUACCAGUUGUGAACUUUAAGAAGUGUUUUUAACCUUCCCAAACCUCAAUUUCCUCACUUUUAAUAGGGGUAAAAUAAUACCUCCACCUUUGGUUCAGCUCUUUUGAGCAUCUCCCCGCAUGGCUAGCAAGCACAGUAAUGGCUGUGGAGCCAUAAUCAAGUGCACUUGAUUCCUGGCUUCCUGGAGUCUGCGCACCAAGGAAGGGACAGCUGCAGCCACACGGUCCUCCGCAUCAGUGACUCUUCAUGAAUUGUGACACAUGUAAUAAAGGAAAAGCAGACAGUGCCUCCAGGGAUAGGGAAGCUUCCCUCAGAGAAUGAUUUCUGAACUCUGCUCAGGCUACCAUAACAAAGUGC
rnacentral:lncRNA from 1 species